rnacentral:rRNA from 1 species
CAUGUCUUUUUGAUUAUAAUUUAAGGUUUAAUCUGCUCAAUGAUUAUUUAAAUUGCCGCAGUAUUUUGACUGUGCAAAGGUAGCAUAAUAAUUAGUUUCUUUAUUGGGAACUGGAAUGAAUGAUUGGACGAGAAAAUUUCUGUCUCUUUAUUAUUUUAAUUGAAUUUUACUUUUAAGUUAAAAGGCUUAAAUUUUAUUAGAGGACGAGAAGACCCUAUAGAGUUUAAUUUUUAUUUAAAUAAUUAUUUUUAGUAUCUAUAUAUAUUAUUUAAAUAAAAAUUUAGUUGGGGUGACUAAAAGAUAAGAAUAACUCUUUUAAUUUUUAUCAAUUAUUUUUGAUUAUAAAAUCNUNANUUNUAAUUUUAAAAUAAAUUACCUUAGGGAUAACAGCGUAAUUCUUUUUUAAAGUUCUUAUUAAAAGAAGAGUUUGCGACCUCGAUGUUGGAUUAAAAUUAAUUUUAGGUGUAGAAGCUUGAAAAUUAAGUCUGUUCGACUUUUAAAAUUUUACAUGAUCUGAGUUUAAACCGGUGUGAGCCAGGUUGGUUUCUAUCCUUAAUUAUAUAUUAUACUUUAGUACG